AAAACUUAGCUGUCUCUCGCUCAUACAAAAAACUCUUGCCUUUUUGAGAAAUUUCUCCGUUGUUGAUCGUUAGCAAAGGUAAUUCUUUCAUGAACUCUUCUUCUUCAAUACGAUAUUAAAGCCAUUUGUUCAAGUUUUUAAGCUCUCCAUUAUUAUUCCAGUGAUUGUCAAAAAGUACAAGGAAAGUUUAAAAGUUGGAUCUUGUUGAGGAUUUUAAUUGGUUUUAUGGGUCCUUACUGAAUUUUGGUUAUGAUUAGAUAUGGGGUUUUAAAGCUUUUUGGGUUUCUUGGGAUUUUGAUAUGAUAGUUGCUCAUAAAUUUGUUUGUGGUUUCAGUUGUUUUCUUAGUUUCUGAGUCACCCUUCUGUUUGGUUGGUAAGAAAAAGAGGGAAAUAUAAAAAUUUAGAAUUUUAUGGGUCUUUCUGGUUGGUUUGUGUCUAUCACUGGAGAAAGAAACUUGGUUUGACUGACUGGAACUACUUGGAUUGGGAUCAGUGAAGUUGGGUUUCUGUUUUAUUAAAUAUUCAAGUCCUUUUUUUUUCUUUUUCCUGCAAGAAAACGGUAUAUUAGUGGGUUUGGACUGUGGAGUUGAUGGAUAAUUCGGGUUUGGGAGGUGGGUUUUUAUCAGGUCCGAAUGAAGGGUUGUUUAACAUUGAGUCAUCCGUUCACAGACAGCAACAGCCCCAUUUGAGUCAACCUUCCUUGAUGCCACACAAUCAUAUGGCUAUGAUGAGUGGCCUUGAAAAUGAACACCGUUCCAUUGGAUUAAUGGAGGCAAAAGGCUCUAACUCUAAAGGCGUUUCUGUGAAUUUUGGUAAAGGGAAGGGAGUUAGUCCCAUUAUUGCUCUCACUAAUGGAAGCAUGAGUGAAGAAGAUGAGCCUAGUUACAAUGAAGAUGGAAAUGGUGAGAACUCCAAUGGGGGUAGAGGCAAGAAAGGAUCACCAUGGCAAAGAAUGAAAUGGACGGAUAAUGUGGUUAGGCUUCUAAAAGCUGUGGUUGCUUGUGUGGGUGAUGAUGGUAUGAUUGAGGGUGUGGAGGGGCUUAAGAGAAAAUCUGGGAUUCCGCAAAAGAAGGGCAAGUGGAAAACUGUGUCCAAGAUAAUGAUUAGUAAAGGUUAUCAUGUUUCACCUCAACAGUGUGAGGAUAAAUUUAAUGACUUGAACAAGAGAUAUAAGAAAUUGAAUGAUAUUCUUGGGAGAGGUACUAGUUGUAGAGUGGUUGAGAACCCUUCUCUUAUGGACUCUAUGCCUCACCUCUCAGCUAAGGCAAAGGAUGAUGUAAAGAAAAUAUUGGGCUCUAAACAUUUAUUUUACCAGGAAAUGUGUGCUUACCAUAAUAGACAGAAGAUACCCAAUUGCCAGGAUCUUGAUCUGCGUGGAUGUUCUAUACCUCUUGAGAGAUGCUUGAAAGACAAUAAAGGGUCAGAUGAGGAAGAAGCUGAGGGAAUUGGUGACAGUGAGGAUGAUGAUGAAAUGGCCAAUGAAGAUGACAAUAAUGCUGUUUAUGAGGAGGAAAGGAUUGGUGAGUUCAAUGAGAGGAAGAAAGCAAGUGCAGAGGAAGGCCAUUUCUGGUCACAAUCUGCUGGCCAGGAUUGCUUCAAGAUGGAGAUGGCUGGAAUAUUUCAAGACCCUACAAGGUCAUCAUUGGAGCGAAAGGAGUGGAUUAAGAGACAGAUGCUGCAACUUCAGGAGGAAAGAGUGAACUUGCAGACGGAAGCUUUUGAGCUUGAAAAACAAUGUUUUAAAUGGCUGAGGUACUGCAACAAGAAAGACAGAGAACUAGAAAGGUUAAGGUUGGAGAAUGAAAGGAUGAGGCUUGAGAAUGAGCAGAGUAUAUUGCAACUGAGGCAAAAAGAAUUAGAAGUAGGUUACAGGAGGUCUGAUGCAUCCUUAGACCCCACUUCACUUGGCAUCGACAGACUGCAAGGCAAAGAUCAGAUUGAUACGGGCAGGCAUCAAUAGCUCUUGUAUCACAUUCAAAUCCAUUUGGAAAUAAGAGUUAUAUAGCUAAAGCAUGUGAGGCUGGCUUACUUUUUAAUAAAGUAAAGUACACUAAUCCUGUGAGACCAUGAAAUAACUCUCAUAGCCAUCCUUGUUGAAGAGGAUUCGAUGUGUCAUUUCCCUUUAUGUUCAUAUUGUUCUUAGAAUCCAAGGUUAUAGAUUGUAUGAUCUGUCUGGUGAUAAUCGAGCAAGGCUUUUGCAGUUAAAAGGACAAUUAUUAUUUGGCUGGGUAGAAAGGAGGCACGCAAUGCAUCUGUACUUGCCUCAGUUAAUUCUUUUUCCUUUUCCCCUUAUUUAUGCUACACUGGUUCCAAUUAUUUCUAAUGUAAUUUUGUAUACACUGAUUUUUUUAACCUUUUUCGUUUGCACUAAAGUGCUUUGGAAGAGGUAUGCAUGGCAUGUCAGACAUGUUUGUAUGGUUGUGGGAUGAAAUAUCUCUUGCAAAUGCAUGGUUGUUCCCUGUGCCAAAGAUGGUUGAAGAUGAUGACACCAACUGUCAAAACGGUGUUUGCUGUUCAUGUUUGUAUUUAGAAACUUGCUCGAGCAAUGUCAUGUUAAUUUGCUUACACUAGGACCAUGGCUUUCUCGCAUUGUCUCUCAAUCAGUAAACAUUAAUCUAAUUGUGUUUUAUG